AGUGAACGCUGGCGGUAGGCCUAACACAUGCAAGUCGAACGGCAGCACAGUAAGAGCUUGCUCUUACGGGUGGCGAGUGGCGGACGGGUGAGGAAUACAUCGGAAUCUACUUUUUCGUGGGGGAUAACGUAGGGAAACUUACGCUAAUACCGCAUACGACCUACGGGUGAAAGCAGGGGAUCUUCGGACCUUGCGCGAUUGAAUGAGCCGAUGUCGGAUUAGCUAGUUGGCGGGGUAAAGGCCCACCAAGGCGACGAUCCGUAGCUGGUCUGAGAGGAUGAUCAGCCACACUGGAACUGAGACACGGUCCAGACUCCUACGGGAGGCAGCAGUGGGGAAUAUUGGACAAUGGGCGAAAGCCUGAUCCAGCCAUACCGCGUGGGUGAAGAAGGCCUUCGGGUUGUAAAGCCCUUUUGUUGGGAAAGAAAAGCAGCAGGUUAAUACCCCGCUGUUCUGACGGUACCCAAAGAAUAAGCACCGGCUAACUUCGU
rnacentral:rRNA from 1 species